rnacentral:tRNA from 1 species
GAUCGUGUGGCCUAGUGGUUAGGGCAUGUCCUUUACAGUACUUCUUUCGCUAAUCGGAUGGGAUCGCAGGUUCGAACCCUGCCACGAUCA